ACAUGGGAAAGACACCUAGUAUACCAUACAGACAGGGCCAUAGACAAAACAAAUAAAGACCUUGCAGAAGUAGAUAAGCUUAAGAAUGAGCUGUUAAAGCUACAGCUAGAACAGGCCAAGCAAGCUAACACAAAAAAGAAACAAAUGCCACAGCAGGCCCAACCAAUCACCACCACAGCUACACCGCAUGCCCCACAGCCUAAUCAAUAUCCCAAUCCAUACCCUUAUGGCCCACAAGACCCGUAUACAGGACCACCAUAUAUGGGAAACCCAUGGGGAGGUUAUCAGCAAAACAGAGGAGGCCCUAGGGGAAGGGGUGGACCCAAUAGGGGUGGUUAUGGUGCUUUUGGUAGGAAUGCAUGUUAUGUGUGUGGACAGGAAGGACACUGGGGACGAAAUUGUCCUAACAUUUGGUCACAGCCUCAAAAUUCAGGUGCUAGCCCACUUAACGGACCACCUGCGGGGGGAUGGGGUCCCCGAGGAGGUGGGGCCGGGCGUGGAGCCGGUGACUAUGGCAGGGGGUCACCGACACAGCACAACCUACCACAACCAAAUUUAAUGGCGCCUAUGCACCCAACAUGGGGCCAAUGGGGUGGUGCGGAUGAAUGAAGGGGCACACAGGAACCCACCAUGAGAGGAAUGGCUGGGCCUCUCAUGGAAAUAGUGGUGAACCACACCACUAAGAGCCCUAGUGGAUAAUGAGCCUAAAUAGUCCACCGUAACAAAAAAAAAAAAAAAAAAAAAAAUUUUAACAACGGUGGGGAUAAUGGGUUUCUGGUAAAAUUGAAAAGUGACUAUUAACAAAUCAACUACCCAAUAAGGUAGCAAACCAGUCUAGUUCGCACGCAUUUCUGUAUUCCUCCAACACACUAGUUAAUAAUAGAUAGGGACCUAGAAAUUACUAUGACCUGUCAAUGUUGUAAUGUGCCCCCGGACGGACGGGGAACAAAUGAAUGGCUAAUUAAACCAUGGAGAGACAGAGCCUUAUGUCUGGCCCAGGACCAGAGACUGUGAAAGACAUGAUGUCAUUUUUGGGCCUUAUAAACAACAACCAAUAGAUAACAAGGUAUGUACCAAUAUAUAAAACGGUGUCUUAGAUAAAGUUUACCAAAAAUCCUGGCCAGCCAAACCUGAAAUUAUGUCCAUGAGGGUGUAAACAUGACUGAUCUAAUCACUGAGGGUGAGCCAUAUAACUGCAUACCAUUGACUAAAAAAAAAAAAAAAAAAAAAGCAAACAAAUUGAGAGAUGGUUUGUUCGCGGUACCACUGACAACUCCCCCACCGGUAAUCACGUUAUUUAUGGAUGGCUUUGUUUUAGAGCAUCAGAUGGUACGCUAAAGGCAGGGUUUGCUGUGGUUGACCAGGUUGAGGGUGAUUUUGUGACUAGAGUGAGUGGUAAAUUGGAGGGUAAGCAGUCAGCACAGACAGCUGAAAUGAUAGCUGUUAUCAAAGCCUUGCACUACACUGGUGAAGAGAGGGUGAUUAUUUAUAGUGACUAUGCAUAUGUGAUUGGUACAGUAUAUAUGGAACUGCCAUAUGGCAGAUAGGUGGGUUUGAAACCAGGAAAGGCCGGCCUAUAAUAAAUAAAUGCUAGCGAAGCCUGACACAUACUAAAGGCUGUGAAGGUACCUAAUGAAGUGGUUGUUGUCAACUGCCUAAUAAACCACUUAUAUCCCCAACCAUGGUUUCCCAAGACAAAGUUAGAUCUGACAAAAUUGACAAACACGCACUGGAAUUGACAUAUAGUUUCGGGGCUGCUCAUCGCCCCAAUGACAGAGCAAAGCUGAAAUAAUGAACCUGACUAUGACAUUAAAACUUGACUUGACAAAAUCUGUGCACAGACAAAAAUAACAUGACUUGAGGUAUUACCUAUUGCAUUAAUGUCUAUUCGCUCUUCUGUUAACAGGAUUUCUGGUUUCACAUCCUUUGAAUUGCUUACAGGUCGACAGUUUCCAGGCCCACGGAACGCCUUGGUGUAGGAUCCAAUCCUGCCACUAACUAAUGAUGUUUAUUUUUACAAACUAACUGCUCUGAUUAAACAUUUUUCCUGCCAGGCUACCACACAACGAAAUUGGGACAACGACUAAGCUGUUACAAAUGAUGAUUGAGUGAAAGUGAAGGUGUUCAGACGGUGCUGGGCCGAACCGAGACGGUCCAGGCUACCGAGAACAGGUCUCUCACAGAAACCGGUGUGGACCUGAGGACUCAGGUCCAAGAGAGGGAGAGUGUUGAAAGUGAAAGUGAAAGUAAAUCAGCUGGAAUACAGAGAGAACAAACAGGAAGUGAAACAUCAGGGGUAACACUCACACAACACCAACAACAAAGUCAACAAACACUCUGUAAAAUUGUGCAUAAAAAAGGUGACAUUUUUUCCUAGCCCAGCAACAGAACCUUUAGCACACUGCAUAGAUUGUGCCUACGGAGCAGGUAUAGCCGUACAAUUCAAAGCGAAGUACGGUACACAAAAGGUUGUAAGACAGAACAAACACACAGGUGAAUGUGCAGUUACCCAUGAGGACGACGGCAGAUUGAUUUUUCAUUUAAUAACAAAACAAAACUGUACUGAUUUACCAACAUAUGAGAAUUUUACCCACAGCCUCAGAUGUAUGAGAGAGUGGUGUGAGAAAGAAAACAUAACAAGUGUAUCCACUCCCCGGCUGGGGUGUGGCCUGGAUAAAGUGGAUUUCCACAAAGUCAAAGUGCUGGAAAUCCUGACAGAAGUGUUCAGGGACCUGAACAUCACAAUUACUGUUUAUUCAUUAUAAUCUGGGUAGCUAUAUACCAUAUUGACCUUCGAAUUUCUUAAGUUUCUUAUAUAAUCUUACAUUUCAAUGUUUCCUUUUGAAUUUAAUUUCUAAGUUUCUUAUAAAAUUUUACAGUAUUAAUUUUACAUUUUAAUUUUCUUUUUCCUUUUUGAACUUAUGAUUGUUAUUUGAGUAUUAGCCAAUAGGCAUAAGUGUAUUUUUUCCACAGAGAUGAAGCUAUAUGGAGAUUGGAAGGUUCUGUGGGCCCUAGGGGUUAUAAUUGCAAUAAUAAUCACCAUAAUAUUUGGCAUAAGCAAUGGAGGUAAUCAGAAAAUUGACAAAAGGUCCAAAACAACACCACAAGAUUAGUGUGUACAGAGAUAUGGGGGAAUUGAAUUAAAUUACACAAAAAAAAAAAAAAAAAAA